GAUGAACGCUGGCGGCGUGCUUAACACAUGCAAGUCGAACGGUGAACACGGAGCUUGCUCUGUGGGAUCAGUGGCGAACGGGUGAGUAACACGUGAGCAACCUGCCCCUGACUCUGGGAUAAGCGCUGGAAACGGCGUCUAAUACUGGAUAUGUGACGUGACCGCAUGGUCUGCGUUUGGAAAGAUUUUUCGGUUGGGGAUGGGCUCGCGGCCUAUCAGCUUGUUGGUGAGGUAAUGGCUCACCAAGGCGUCGACGGGUAGCCGGCCUGAGAGGGUGACCGGCCACACUGGGAUUGAGACACGGCCCAGACUCCUACGGGAGGCAGCAGUGGGGAAUAUUGCACAAUGGGCGAAAGCCUGAUGCAGCAACGCCGCGUGAGGGAUGACGGCCUUCGGGUUGUAAACCUUUUUUAGCAGGGAAGAGGCGAAAGUGACGGUACCUGCAGAAAAAGCGCCGGCUAACUACGUG
rnacentral:rRNA from 1 species